UUCUCAGCAACUCCUAUUCCUACCUCCUCGUGGCACCGGCUGGGCUGCGAGUAACCUAAGGAAAGAUAAGG
rnacentral:ribozyme from 1 species